CACUAGUCAAAUAAUACUGGAAAUAAAUUGUUUGUCACAUGUUGAUUAAGUAAAGUUUUUAUUACCGUAUUAGGUAGGAAUUGACAGAGAGAAACGAGAAUGUUUAGCUUAUCGAAGACAUUCUCUUUUCUCUCUGUUCAAUUUUGUCUUCUUUUUUUUUUUCGGUUUUAGUGUUUUUUGUUGAAAAAGUUGAAGAAAAAAAUUAAAGAGAAAAGCUAACUAAUGAAUUACACAAGAAAGAAAUUGUUUGACCUACAUGAUUUAUUUUUCUCAUUCAAUUACCACGUAAUACAAUUUAAUUACCACGUAAUACAGUUUAAUUACCACAUAAUAUAAUAAAAAACCUUACUUAAUCAACACGUGACAGACAAUUUAUCUUCGAUAUUGUUUGACUAGUGGAAAUUAGGUAAAUGUCAAGCUUUAGUGUAUGUUAAAACCAGAUUUCAAAAGUUCAUGUAUUGAAUUUAAAUUUUGUAUUAGUUGAUGUAUGUUUUUGCAUACGUGAAGUGUUUAUGUAUUGAUCUGUACCAUUGGCCCAUGUUGAUGUAUGAAUUAGCCGAUUUUCUAUUACCGGUGGUUAACGACAACUCAACGUUUGAUUAACGGAAAUUAGGUCAAUGUAUGAUAAAACCAAAUUUUGAAAGUUCAUGUGUGAAAAUUAAAUUUUGUACUAGUUGAUGUAUGUUUUCGCACAUAUAACAUGUUUAUGUAUUGCUCGGGACCGUUGAUCCUUGUUGAUGUAGGAAUUGGCCGAUUUCCCUCUCUCUAAAAUAUGUUUGAGAAAAUGUAUAUCCUCCUUACUGUAUUUGCUGCAGGCACUUGACAUAUACAAAACAUUUGUAUUUUAAAAAAAAAAGGCAUUUGGAGUAGAUGACUAAAAUAAGAAUGGUAUUUAGGUAAAUGGACAUGUUACUGAUAAACUUUCUAAAUGGCGGUAAUAGCCCUAUAACUUGGUAUACAAAUAGACUUGCAUGUACUACAAGCUGACCAGAUAAUAUUAAUAAAGAUCAUAUAGCUACCUAAUUCAUGCAAAUCUUUAUGUGGGGAAAUGCAAUAAAUUGUCUAAACUACAUUAUUAUCGUCAUUUUCAAAUCUUCUUCUCUCUUCCUUUGUUUUUGGAGUCUAUAAAAAAACUGUAUGGAUCUAUCGCACAUCUGUUUGGGAGGAAGCAUAAUAGAAGAUGGUGUAUGCUCUGCUUGUAGAUUAGCCGGACCGAAACGAGACGCAAAUUUCUGCUCAGCUUGUAGUUUCUAGCCUCAUUUCCACAACAGAAGCAUACAGGGCUGUAGCACCAAUCUGGGCUGUGAACCCCUGCUCGGAGGAUGUGGUGCUCUUUGCUAGAAACGAAUCUCCAAAGCUUCACGUGACAGACCAUAUCCUUGUCAGAUUCCAUGUCUACCUUGAGCCCAUCACCUCUUUUUACCAUCUUCGAGCCAUAUCUUCUAUAUCCAUAGCUAAGGAAACCACUUACAUUGUUUGAGAUCGUCAGCGGAGCGCUCACAUUAACCGGUGUGGAGGGAUAUGAGAUCAGCCUGGGUGAGCAUGUUCAUCUGAGGAGCCGGUGUCGCCCUAAGCAGAGUCAUAAGUAGCUAAAUCAGCAAGUAAUAAAGUUGUGCCCUUCUUCUUUGUUUUGGUGGCGAAGGCAACAUAUAAGUUGAGAGUAUUGAUGGAUCUCAUCUUCGUGUUCCUCGGCUUUAAGAGCCUCACAAUGCUUUGAUUUUCUAUUAUUUUUUUCUUUUUUUCGAAUAAAAAAGGGUUUUCGUUGUUCGGAAUUUCCAUAUCCAUUGUAUACUUUGAUUUUAAUGGGGUAUAUAUAUCUGAUUUAAUAGCCCAAGCACGAUGUUUUGAUGCUUUGUGAUCUUGUCUGACAAUGUCUGAUUUGCUCUUAUUUGGCAUGUCUUCUUACAUAUCCAUCACUGCCUUAGAGGACACUGAUAGGUUUUAAUUUGUAAGAUUCAACCUAUGAGAAGCUAGUUUCGUUCAUAGUGGUUAUUAAUAGUGUGCAAAAGACUGUCGUUUCUAUAAUAAAGCUCUUAAAGUCCACAAAUCUGCAAAUCCAUACUAAGUUAUUAUUCAUCUAAAAAAGGGUUUUAUUUCCGACAUUUCAAGAAUAACAAAUACCUUUGUGGGAUAUAGCAAGUUUUAUCUGGAUCAAUUAUGUAAUAUCUGGUUAAAAUUCAUAUGUACAUAUUAUUUCAUAUCUCUUACAAUACUUUGUUCCAAACUCAUGAUGUAUAUAAUACACAUUUAUAUUACAGAUACACAAAUAAUUUUCUGACUAUUACUUUCAUAAUCCGGAUUAUAU